ACGACCGUACCGCAAACCGACACUGGUGCGCGAGAUGAGUAUUCUAAGGCGCUUGAGAGAACUCAGGAGAAGGAACUCGGCAAAUUGACACCGUAACUUCGGAAGAAGGUGUGCCUUUAGUAGGUGAAGUCCCUCGCGGAUGGAGCCCAAUGAGGUUGCAAAGAAUCGGUGGCUGCGACUGUUUAUUAAAAACACAGCACUCUGCAAACACGAAAGUGGACGUAUAGGGUGUGACGCCUGCCCGGUGCUGGAAGAUUAAAUGAUGGGGUGCAAGCUCUUGAUUGAAGUCCCAGUAAACGGCGGCCGUAACAAUAACGGUCCUAAGGUAGCGAAAUUCCUUGUCGGGUAAGUUCCGACCUGCACGAAUGGCGUAACGAUGGCCACACUGUCUCCUCCUGAGACUCAGCGAAGUUGAAAUGUUUGUGAUGAUGCAAUCUCCCCGCGGAAAGACGGAAAGACCCCAUGAACCUUUACUGUAGCUUUGUAUUGGACUUUGAACAGAUCUGUGUAGGAUAGGUGGGAGGCUUUGAAGCAGGGUCGCUAGAUCUUGUGGAGCCAACGUUGAAAUACCACCCUGGUGUGUUUGAGGUUCUAACCUAGGCCCGUAAUCCGGGUUGGGGACAGUGCAUGGUAGGCAGUUUGACUGGGGCGGUCUCCUCCCAAAGUGUAACGGAGGAGUUCGAAGGUACGCUAGUUACGGUCGGACAUCGUGACGAUAGUGCAAUGGCAUAAGCGUGCUUAACUGCGAGACUGACAAGUCGAGCAGAUGCGAAAGCAGGACAUAGUGAUCCGGUGGUUCUGUAUGGAAGGGCCAUCGCUCAACGGAUAAAAGGUACUCUGGGGAUAACAGGCUGAUACCGCCCAAGAGUUCAUAUCGACGGCGGUGUUUGGCACCUCGAUGUCGGCUCAUCUCAUCCUGGGGCUGUAGCCGGUCCCAAGGGUAUGGCUGUUCGCCAUUUAAAGAGGUACGUGAGCUGGGUUUAAAACGUCGUGAGACAGUUUGGUCCCUAUCUUCCGUGGGCGCUGCAGAUUUGAGGAAGCCUGCUCCUAGUACGAGAGGACCGGAGUGGACGCACCUCUGGUGUAUCGGUUGUCACGCCAGUGGCAUUGCCGAGUAGCUAUGUGCGGAAGAGAUAACCGCUGAAAGCAUCUAAGCGGGAAACUCGUUUCAAGAUGAGAUCUGCCGGGGCCUUGAGCCCCCUGAAGAGUCGUUCAAGACCAGGACGUUGAUAGGUCGGGUGUGGAAGCGCAGUAAUGCGUUAAGCUAACCGAUACUAAUUGCUCGUGCGGCUUGACCU
rnacentral:rRNA from 1 species